UGCAGUCCCAGCCUCGUGAUUAGUGAUGAUGCACCAGGUUAUGACCUAGAUUUAUUCUGUAGACCUAAUCAGUAUGCUGAGGAUUUGGAUAAGGUGUUUAUUCCUCAUGGACUAAUUAUGGACAGGACGGAACGGCUGGCUCGAGAUGUGAUGAAAGAGAUGGGAGGCCAUCACAUCGUGGCCCUCUGUGGGCUCAAGGGGGGCUAUAAAUUCUUUGCUGACCUGCUGGAUAACAUCAAAUGAACAGAAAUAGUGAUAGAUCUAGACCUAUGACUGUAGAUUUCAUCAGACUGAAGAGCUACUGUAAUGACCAGUCAACAGGUGACAUAAAAGUCAUUGGUGGAGAUGAUCUCUCAACUUUAACUGGGAAGAAUGUCUUGAUUGUUGACGAUAUAAUUGACACUGGCAAAACAAUGCAAACCUUGCUUUCCUUGGUCAAGCAGCAUAAUCCAAAGAUGGUCAAGGCUGCAAGCUUGCAGGGGUGAAAAGGACCCCUCAAAGUGUUGGAUAGAGACCAGACUUUGUUGGAUUUCAAAUUCCAGACAAGUUUGUUGUAGGAUAUGCCCUUGACUACAAUGAAUACUUCAGGGAUUUGAAUCAUGUUUGUGUCAUUAGCGAAACUGGAAAAGCAAAAUACAAAGCCUAA